rnacentral:rRNA from 1 species
AUUGAACGCUGGCGGCAGGCCUAACACAUGCAAGUCGAGCGGAUGAAGGGAGCUUGCUCCUGGAUUCAGCGGCGGACGGGUGAGUAAUGCCUAGGAAUCUGCCUGGUAGUGGGGGAUAACGUCCGGAAACGGGCGCUAAUACCGCAUACGUCCUGAGGGAGAAAGUGGGGGAUCUUCGGACCUCACGCUAUCAGAUGAGCCUAGGUCGGAUUAGCUAGUUGGUGGGGUAAAGGCCUACCAAGGCGACGAUCCGUAACUGGUCUGAGAGGAUGAUCAGUCACACUGGAACUGAGAAACGGUCCAGACUCCUACGGGAGGCAGCAGUGGGGAAUAUUGGACAAGGGGCGAAAGCCUGAUCCAGCCAUGCCGCGUGUGUGAAGAAGGUCUUCGGAUUGUAAAGCACUUUAAGUUGGGAGGAAGGGCAGUAAGUUAAUACCUUGCUGUUUUGACGUUACCAACAGAAUAAGCACCGGCUAACUUCGUGC